UCUAUUUUUUCUCUCUCCUUACCGACCCCCAUCUUUUCUCUCUUGCCCUCCCCAGCCCUCUCUCUUUUCAUCAGAAAAAAUGCCAAAAUGUCAGGUUAAAAAUGGAAGUGAUCUUCUGCAUAUAUUUUUUUCUUACAGAUGGACACCUUAGUUUUUACCUCGAGAAAAGCCUAAUUUUCACCUUCAUGUGAUCCCAGCUAUGGAGAUCUCCAAUCACACGAGACUUGAAGAGUUAGGAUCAAGAAUUGGGUGAUUCACAGCUUAGUCUACGUAUUUUGAAUGGGGAACUGUAUGGGGCAGUGAGAGUAGAGCCUCUGGUUUAAAGUGUGGUGGUUAAGAUAUUUGGUUUCAAAGCCAUAAAGUAGAAGGCACGAGAGCUUCUCGCUCAUCUAUUUUCAAGAUGGACAGAUGAAAUAAUUUACUGUCUUGUUUACUGUGUAAGCAAUUAUUUGACACACUUUUCAAAGAUACAAGAAGAAAUUAUUUUAUCUUUCCAAUAUUUGACAUCUAGAAAUGAUGAUGGAACCUAUGAAGUGACACACUUUUCAAAGAAAGAAAAAGGGCGAAAAUUUUCUUUGAUGGUUGAAGAUAAUGUUAUGAAUUGCAGUUGUAAAGGGUUUGAGUUUACAUGCAUCAUUUGCAGGCAUUCUCUUCAUGUUCUCUUCAAAUAAAAUUUUAUUCAAAUUCCAAACUGAUAUCCGCCAAAACGUUAGAGGCACUCUACUUCAUUGAUAUCAGACAUUAGCUCGAGCACAUUAGCUGCCUAUGUUGAGCAUGUCCAAACUAUACAAUCAUUAACAUCAACAAUUGGUACAAAAGGUGCAAGAUUUGAUGAUUGUUACAAGUUCAUUAUGGAGCAAUUUUCAAGAAUUUUGGAACAUGUUGAAGAAAUAGAAUGCAUGAGGUCUCCUAUGGUUGAUGAAACAUCUAAUGCAAGUCUAGCAACUGAAGAGGAUGAAAAUAGACUUCAUUGUGAAAGCAUCCAUGUAAAAAACCCUGUUCGGUCUAUCACAAAAGGGCGGCCUCCUGGAAAAAGGUUAAAGUCCUAUGUUGAAGUUGCUAAGAAACCUAGAUAUUGUAAAGUUCCUUCAUGUGACCAAAUUAGCCAUGAUUAUAGGAAUUGUCCAUUAAGAAGAGGUUAAUUUAGUAGGUAAUCAUUAUAUGUUAGAGAACACUAUUCUUGGUGUAAUGUUGACACAAUUUUAGGGCUAGAAAUGCUGCUUUGCAUAUGAGAUUUUUGAGCAUUUACAUGUGACAACUUUGUAUAUGUAAUUUUGGAGUUGUACAUAAUGAUUAUUGUAAGGUUGAAAUGUGGAUGCAAAUGUAACGAAUAUAUUUUUACUUGAUUAAAUGCUCCAUCUUUAGCUAA